rnacentral:rRNA from 1 species
GACGGAGGGUGCAAGCGUUGUUCGGAAUUACUGGGCGUAAAGGGUUCGUAGGUGGCCAACUAAGUCAGACGUGAAAUCCCUCAGCUUAACUGGGGAACUGCGUCUGAUACUGUGUGGCUUGAGUGCAGGAGAGGAACGCGGAAUUCCAGGUGUAGCGGUGAAAUGCGUAGAUAUCUGGAGGAACACCGGUGGCGAAGGCGGCGUUCUGGACUGCAACUGACACUGAGGAACGAAAGCCAGGGGAGCAAACGGG